rnacentral:rRNA from 1 species
CCCUUAGAUGUUCUGGGCCGCACGCGCGCUACACUGACGAUGGCAACGAGUUUUUCCUUCGCCGAAAGGUGUGGGUAAUCUUUUGAAACAUCGUCGUGCUGGGGAUAGAUCAUUGCAAUUUUUGAUCUUGAACGAGGAAUUCCUAGUAAGCGCGAGUCAUCAGCUCGCGUUGAUUACGUCCCUGCCCUUUGUACACACCGCCCGUCGCUACUACCGAUUGAAUGGUUUAGUGGGGACUCCUGAUUGGCGCCGCCGCCCCGGCAACGGAGCAGCGGACUGCCGAAAAGUUGUUCAAACUUGAUCAUUUAGAGGAAGUAAAAGUCGUAACA